CACGGAGAGUGCAAGCGUUGUUCGGAAUCAUUGGGCUUAAAGAGCGUGUAGGCGGAAUGUCAGAGUGCCGCGUGAAAUCCCCGGGCUCAACCCGGGAAUUGCACGGCAAACCGGCAUUCUUGAGGCAGGUAGAGGUGACCGGAACAACUGGUGGAGCGGUGAAAUGCGUAGAUAUCAGUUGGAACGCCGGAGGCGAAAGCGGGUCGCUGGACCUGUCCUGACGCUGAGACGCGAAAGCGUGGGUAGCGAACAGGAUUAGAUACCCUGGUAGUCCACGCCGUAAACGAUGCGCACUAGGUAUGAGAGGUUCUGACGCCGAUCGUGCCGCAGCAAAAGUGAUAAGUGCGCCGCCUGGGGAGUACGGCCGCAAGGCUAAAACUCAAAGGAAUUGACGGGGGCUCACACAAGCGGUGGAGCAUGUGGAUUAAUUCGAAAGCAACGCGCAGAACCUUACCUGGGUUUGACAUGCGCGGAUGCCCUCUUGGAAACAGGAGUAAGCUGCCUUCGGGUGAAACGUGCACAGGUGCUGCAUGGCUGUCGUCAGCUCGUGCUGUGAAGUGUCAGGUUAAGUCCCUCAACGAGCGAAACCCCUAUCGUUAGUUGCCAGCGGGUCAUGCCGGGGACUCUAGCGAGACCGCCGGCGUCAAGCCGGAGGAAGGUGGGGAUGACGUCAAGUCAUCAUGGCCCUUAUGCCCAGGGUGUCACACGUGCUACAAUGGCCGGUACAGAGCGACGCGAGACCGAGAGGUGGAGCAAAUCGCAGAAAGCCGGCCCCAGUUCGGAUUGGAGUCUGCAACUCGACUCCAUGAAGUUGGAAUCGCUAGUAAUCGCGUAUCAGCCAUGACGCGGUGAAUGUGUUCCUGAGCC
rnacentral:rRNA from 1 species